rnacentral:lncRNA from 1 species
AUGGGAGUGAUGAUGAGAAGUCAGCCCCUGGCGGCCAGCCGGGAGAGCGCUCCUGACCUGAGGAGCCGGUGCAGAGUUCAAGCUGUGGAGGCGCUUGGCAAGUCCCAGAGAGCGGAAGUCAAGGAGAGGAGCCUGGAGAGAAGCAGGAAGGCCGCUGAAGAGCUGGCUGUGCCCCCGGAUCAAAAACUUGAAGCAGUGGACCAGUGUUACAGCUUGGUUACAGCUCAUUUUUACUUCGAAAGCAAAGAAAAAUACAGUCUUGAAGAAUGAGGGGGAGGCAGACCCAAAAGAGGUGAGCAGCUCAAGUUUGGUUCCUCUUUUGCUAUGUUUUUUUCUCCUCCCCCUGAGCCUGCCCUAUGUAAACUGGGCUAGCCAGGAGGGCUGUUUUGUUUUUUUUUUUUUUUUUUUGACCUGAGGUUCUCACUCAGGUCUGUGGAUUUUCUUUUGUUCUGUUUUCAUGGGCUUUUCCCUUCCUUUGUGUUUUAGCCACUGCCAUUUUGGACUCCUUUUUCCUAUUCUAACUACCUAACAUUCCUUCCUCAAAAGAUGGGAGGCCCAAUUCUUUGGGAAUAUGGGCAUUGAGGUCUCUUUGGCUACUCUCUGCUGAGCUGGGAUGGCAAGGGGCAUUGGGCCUCCCCCUCUUGCUAGUCUCGAGCCUCAGAGUCCUUACAGCAGUGUCCAUCGAAGGGUAAGUGAUAUUUUCCAUGGCCAGGUGUAGCUUCAUAUAUCCUUAUUGAACUGGCACUGCAUGUUGUAACUUGUUGACCUGGGCAGAAACAAAACGGAUUAGACAAUUGAUAAUACAUGGAGCAAUCAUAAGCAGCAUCAAUAUGGUGAUAACAGGGAUUAGUAGGGGC